GAAAAGAAAGAAGGAAGCAAAAUUGCAAGAUGAAAAGAAGCAAAGGAAUAAUGAUUUUGCCACCAUUAGAUUGAUUUCGAUUGUCUUUCAAAUGG
rnacentral:ribozyme from 1 species